AGAGUUUGAUCAUGGCUCAGGAUGAACGCUAGCUACAGGCUUAACACAUGCAAGUCGAGGGGCAGCAUGUUGGUUGCUUGCAACCAAUGAUGGCGACCGGCGCACGGGUGAGUAACGCGUAUCCAACCUACCCUUGUCCAUCGGAUAACCCGUCGAAAGGCGGCCUAACACGAUAUGCGGUUCACAGCAGGCAUCUAAGGUGAGCGAAAUGUGAAGGAGAAGGAUGGGGAUGCGUCUGAUUAGCUUGUUGGCGGGGUAACGGCCACCAAGGCGACGAUCAGUAGGGUUCUGAGAGGAAGGUCCCCANAUUGGAACUGAGACACGGUCCAAACUCCUAACGGAGGCA
rnacentral:rRNA from 1 species